CUCGAUAGAUGGCUUAAUUUAGAGUCUGGAGAGGCGGUUAAGUUUAGGGUCUUGAGUGGCGGCUAGUUAUAGAUGAAUGUGGAUGAAGUCUAUAUAUAUUAGAUGUGUACUCUGAUUAUAAGUAACGGGUGUUGGAAGUAUGAGUUAUCUCAUUCGACACUUUUCUUAUGUGCAACCUUGUUGAUUUCUACUUUCUUGUGUUAUGCUUAUAGUAUUUCUUCAAUAGAUUAUGGGUCCACUCACUCUCUGUUGUGCUAUUCAAGUAAGUUGAAGUCAUCUUCUCUUUAUUGCUUUUGUAUGGAUUAGAUCUUAUGGUAUUUAUUGAUGUUAGGUUUGUUGGUAUCAGGAGGCUAAACCUUGCCGUUUGUCGAAACAUUAAACCUAGCCGCGUAUCGAGAGCCUAGCCGCCACUUAGUCCUCAGUUGC
rnacentral:lncRNA from 1 species